rnacentral:rRNA from 1 species
UAGGGAAUCUUCCACAAUGGACGAAAGUCUGAUGGAGCAACACCGCGUGAGUGAAGAAGGGUUUCGGCUCGUAAAACUCUGUUGUUAAAGAAGAACAUAUCUGAGAGUAACUGUUCAGGUAUUGACGGUAUUUAACCAGAAAGCCACGGCUAACUACGUGCCGG